rnacentral:lncRNA from 1 species
AGAGAGAGAGAGAACUCACCCCAUAAAUAACAUUUUAAAGAAAGGGUCUUGCUAAAUUGUCCAGACUGGCCUUCAACUCCUGGGCUCAUGAAACCCUCCUUCCUCAGUAUCUGGGACUAGAGGUGUGUGCUAUGGCGCCCAGCUUUAAUGCAUUUUUAAAGAUCACAAUGAAGGCAAAAAAAGAAUCCAUGAUGAACAAAAUAUCAACAUUGUAAAUAGAGAGAGGAUUAGAAUUACUGAUUUUUUUCCUUUUGCCUUAGGCUAUAAUAUGGCUCAGCACGCCACCAUUACUGAUCCUGUCUUUAUUUAAAAUGUUGAUAUUUAGUUCAUCAUGGAUUUUGCAUUAAUUUUUUGAAAAAUACUGCUUUAA